AGAAAAUCCAGGCCCUCAGCCAUACUUUUAUUCAGUGUAGCACGGGACCAUAAAUAUUUUCUAAAGAAAAACCUGACCAUAUCUAGAGGACAACAGGAUUUAAUGAGGACUGAACCGAGUGCUACUUCAAAUUUAGCACCUUCUCCAAAGAGCCAUUCUGCUAGGACGCACCCAUCCCCUAAGCAAGCAGGGGAGCCAGUAUUGUGACCCACACAAUCACAGUUCCACCUUCCCCAGUCCAUGGAAGUCUCCUUGGGGAGAGUGAGCACAGCCUGCUCAUCUUUGAACCCACCCCAGCGCCUAGCACAGUGCCAAGUCAGCCAGUCUGUUAACCAGCUGAUGGCCGUUCUGAAGUCGGGGUCUGAAUGGUUUGGAAGAGUGGCAGCAAGACUCUCCCAGGAAGGCUGUGAGAACGCCCCCACAGCAUUGUCCCGGCUUUGCUCCUAAAAACCAGAAGUCCUAGCUGGGAGGCAAUGUCCUAGACAAAUACUGAGAGAAGGGAGCUUUCCUUGAAGAUGGAGCAAGUAUUUGCCAGACACUGGGAAGGAGAAAGUGAUGUGGCUACGGAUGCCAGUAAGUUCUCACACAGGGGCCCAGCAGUCUGCUUCCUGGUAGAUCCAGCACCAGAGAAGAGAUGGAAGGUUUGUGAGACUAGGAAGCUCACUACUGUGACCGCACAGUAUUAGCGAGGACACCAUAGUAGCAACCUGCAUGGACUGAUCACUAUAAUACCUACUACCAAGCCUCACACAUUGUCUUUCCAACAAAGUGGGAGGAACAGUUGAAGUUCUGACUUGUACUAAAAAUGUAUGUAUGUUUGUUUAUUUGUUAAGGAACUUUUGAACACAGAGCUGAAUUUCCCUAAGUUAAAUAUGAAGCAAUUGCUCCUGCUUCCCAGAGUUGAGAAGAGGGUGGGCAAACAAUCAUGUCAUGGCUUAUGGGCACUAUGUGAAGGACAGUUCAGCAAAUCUUACAAUUAUUAGAGUUAUGGACCAUUGGACCUUGUAACUCUACUGCUAUAUCAAGUUAUGAUGGAGUUACAUCUUGA